CACGUAGGGCGCAAGCGUUUGUCCGGAAUUAUUGGGCGUAAAGAGCUCGUAGGCGGUCUGCCACGUCCGCUGUGAAAACCUAGGGCUUAACCCUGGGCUUGCAGUAGAUACGGGCAGACUAGAGGUAGGUAGGGGAGAAUGGAAUUCCCGGUGUAGCGGUGAAAUGCGCAGAUAUCAGGAGGAACACCGGUGGCGAAGGCGGGUCUCUGGGCAGUAACUGACGCUGAGGAGCGAAAGCGUGGGGAGCGAACAGG
rnacentral:rRNA from 1 species